UUAUCGCAAGCUGCAUACUUAGCAAACGGGACAAAAAUAUCAUUGGUCAUGAUCCCUAGCGACUCCGAACCGUGCAAACCCGUCGCCGCCGGAGAGAUCCUGCAAGGUGGUGAUCUCUGCCGCCUUUAGAUUCCCUCAAUCGGCCGUGUACUGCCCAACAAUCAUGAUCUGCUACGCCGUCAGUGGAAGAGAGGGAGAGGAGCCAGCCGGCGGGCCAAGGAAUCCAUGGGGUAGUCGGAUGAGGAAAGGAAUAACCAGUCUUGUUCUGGAGAAAUCCGAUAAGCUACUAUAAGCAGGGGCAGCAAUUGGUUUUUUCAGCAAUGGCAGACAUGCACUCAACCUGCUGAGGGAUUCGAGAUAUCCGGUUUAAGAGUAAUAGGACAGAAGUAACUUCAUGCCGGUAAUUUUUAUAACCAUUUCAUCUGCAACUAUUGUUCUAUGUAGUGCUAAGUUCAAUGGGGCCAACUACUGCCACCAUAUCAACUUGAUAGGCAAUUUUAUCUCGUCAAUUCAAUUACUUACAAAGCUUGAUAUAUUGUGUGUAUAUUUAUAUAUGUUACAUCGUUGAAUAACAAUCUCCUUGGAUUUUUAAUUAGUUUGUACAUAUAAACUUUUAUAUUAACACUGCUUUGUAUUUCAUUUUUGUACAGGUCACUAUGUAUCUAAUGUCUGUCACAUUGACCUUUCA